UGUGCACCAUAAACACUUUAGAAAAGGAAAGUACAGGAGUUAACAAAAAUGAAAAAGCAAGAGGCAGCAGAAAGAAGAAUCAUGAUGGGAUUAGGUAAAAUCUCAAGUACUUCUGAAUCAGGAAACAAGAAUGCUUAAUGCUUGUAAUGUGUGAAGAAGCCAAGUUUUGAAGUUGAUUGGCUUCAAAUAUAAUCAGUCAUCUUUGUUAGCUUUGCUAAUAAUAAAAGGAAAAACAAUAAGAGCAAGAUGAGUGAAAG
rnacentral:misc_RNA from 1 species